rnacentral:rRNA from 1 species
GUUAAGUGACGAUAGCCUAGGAGAUACACCUGUACCCAUGCCGAACACAGCAGUUAAGCCCUAGAACGCCUGAAGUAGUUGGGGGUUGCCCCCUGUUAGAUACGGUAGUCGCUUAGCA